rnacentral:rRNA from 1 species
UGGGGAAUAUUGGACAAUGGGCGCAAGCCUGAUCCAGCAAUGCCGCGUGAGUGAUGAAGGCCUUAGGGUUGUAAAGCUCUUUUACCCGUGAUGAUAAUGACAGUAGCGGGAGAAUAAGCCCCGGCUAACUCCGUGCCAGCAGCCGCGGUAAUACGGAGGGGGCUAGCGUUGUUCGGAAUUACUGGGCGUAAAGCGCACGUAGGCGGCUUUGUAAGUUAGAGGUGAAAGCCUGGAGCUCAACUCCAGAACUGCCUUUAAGACUGCAUCGCUUGAAUCCAGGAGAGGUGAGUGGAAUUCCGAGUGUAGAGGUGAAAUUCGUAGAUAUUCGGAAGAACACCAGUGGCGAAGGCGGCUCACUGGACUGGUAUUGACGCUGAGGUGCGAAAGCG